rnacentral:rRNA from 1 species
CACGUAGGCACCAAGCGUUGUCCGGAUUUAUUGGGCGUAAAGAGCUCGUAGGCGGUUCAGUAAGUCGGGUGUGAAACUUUGGGCUUAACCCAAGCGUGCAUCCGAUACUGCUGUGACUUGAGUACGGUAGGGGAGCGGGGAAUUCCUAGUGUAGCGGUGAAAUGCGCAGAUAUCAGGAGGAACACCGAUGGCGAAGGCAGGUCUCUGGGCAUUAACUGACGCUGAGGAGCGAAAGCAUGGGGAGCGAACAGG